GACCUGCACUUCGGGAUAAGCUUGGGAAACUGGGUCUAAUACCGGAUAGGAGCCAUCUUUAGUGUGGUGGUUGGAAAGUUUUUUCGGUGUAGGAUGAGCUCGCGGCCUAUCAGCUUGUUGGUGGGGUAAUGGCCUACCAAGGCGGCGACGGGUAGCCGGCCUGAGAGGGUGUACGGCCACAUUGGGACUGAGAUACGGCCCAG
rnacentral:rRNA from 1 species